rnacentral:rRNA from 1 species
GACGAACGCUGGCGGCGUGCUUAACACAUGCAAGUCGAACGGAAAGGCCCCUUUGGGGGUACUCGAGUGGCGAACGGGUGAGUAACACGUGCGUAACCUGCCCUUGACUUCGGGAUAACAUCAGGAAAAUGGGGCUAAUACCGGAUCGGAAUCCUUGCUGCAUGGAGGGGGUUGGAAAGCUUCGGCGGUUUUGGAUGGACUCGCGGCGUAUCAGCUUGUUGGUGGGGUAGUGGCUUACCCAGGCUUUGACGGGUAGCCGGCCUGAGAGGGCGACCGGCCACAUUGGGACUGAGAGACGGCCCAGACGCCGACGGGAGGCAGCAGUGGGGAAUAUUGCACAAUGGGCGGAAGCCGGAUGCAGCAACGCCGCGUGCGGGAUGACGGCCUUCGGGUUGUAAACCGCUUUCAGCAGGGGCGAAGCUUGUGGUGACGGUACCUGCAGAAGAAGCACCGGCUAACUACGUG